UAUUUCCAUCUGUACCCCUUGUUCCAAAAGAGGGUAAUUUGGAUACUUUAAAUAAAUGCAACCUAUUUCCAGGUCGCUCAUUGCAGAGUCUUGGCAUGAU